GACGAACGCUGGCGGCGUGCUUAACACAUGCAAGUCGAACGGAAAGGCCCUGCUUUUGUGGGGUGCUCGAGUGGCGAACGGGUGAGUAACACGUGAGUAACCUGCCCUUGACUUUGGGAUAACUUCAGGAAACUGGGGCUAAUACCGGAUAGGGGCUCCUGCUGCAUGGUGGGGGUUGGAAAGUUUCGGCGGUUGGGGAUGGACUCGCGGCUUAUCAGCUUGUUGGUGGGGUAGUGGCUUACCAAGGCUUUGACGGGUAGCCGGCCUGAGAGGGUGACCGGCCACAUUGGGACUGAGAUACGGCCCAGACUCCUACGGGAGGCAGCAGUGGGGAAUAUUGCACAAUGGGCGGAAGCCUGAUGCAGCAACGCCGCGCGCGGGAUGACGGCCUUCGGGUUGUAAACCGCUUUCGCCUGUGACGAAGCGUGAGUGACGGUAAUGGGUAAAGAAGCACCGGCUAACUACGUG
rnacentral:rRNA from 1 species